AUACGGAGGAUGCAAGCGUUAUCCGGAUUUAUUGGGUUUAAAGGGUUCGUAGGCGGAAAAUUAAGUCAGUGGUGAAAGCCUGCAGCUCAACUGCAGAACUGCCAUUGAUACUGAUUUUCUUGAAUUUAUAUGAAGUGGGCGGAAUGCGUCAUGUAGCGGAAAUGCACAGAUAUGACGCAGAACACCAAUUGCGAAGGCAGCUCACUAAUGUAAUAUUGACGCUGAGGAACGAAAGCAUGGGGAGCGAACAGGAUUAGAAACCCUAGUAGUCC
rnacentral:rRNA from 1 species